GCAGGACCACGUUAGCACUGAGUUAUCACCAAGCUGGCACCAGGCUUCGUUCCAGGACAGGCUGAUGAGGCUCCUGUUGCAGCAGCUGAGUUUGAACCAGGCUCAGGAAGAGGUUCUUCCUGUUUGCACUGUUUCAGCUUUGAACAGUAGCAACUGCUAUGAAUUUGAAGUCUUUUCAAGUCUGUUUGAUAAACCACUUCUCUUCAAGCUAUUCAAAACAAUGAGAUGUGGUUCAUGACAGUAAAUACACUAUUUCAGUGCUCAGAGAGAGUAAUUGAGAGGUCUUGCCUUGCUCGACUGCAAGUCUGUCUGAACACCUGGAGAGCUGCUACAGCAACAGGGU